rnacentral:rRNA from 1 species
GAUGAACGCUGGCGGCGUGCCUAAUACAUGCAAGUCGAGCGAACGGACGAGAAGCUUGCUUCUCUGAUGUUAGCGGCGGACGGGUGAGUAACACGUGGAUAACCUACCUAUAAGACUGGGAUAACUUCGGGAAACCGGAGCUAAUACCGGAUAAUAUUUUGAACCGCAUGGUUCAAAAGUGAAAGACGGUCUUGCUGUCACUUAUAGAUGGAUCCGCGCUGCAUUAGCUAGUUGGUAAGGUAACGGCUUACCAAGGCAACGAUGCAUAGCCGACCUGAGAGGGUGAUCGGCCACACUGGAACUUAAACACGGUCCAGACUCCUACGGGAGGCAGCAGUAGGGAAUCUUCCGCAAUGGGCGAAAGCCUGACGGAGCAACGCCGCGUGAGUGAUGAAGGUCUUCGGAUCGUAAAACUCUGUUAUUAGGGAAGAACAUAUGUGUAAGUAACUGUGCACAUCUUGACGGUACCUAAUCAGAAAGCCACGGCUAACUACGUG